rnacentral:tRNA from 1 species
GGGCCAUUAGCGCAGCCUGGUAGCGCAGCAGACUCUUAAUCUGUUGGUCGGGAGUUCAAAUCUCCCAUGGCCCG